rnacentral:rRNA from 1 species
UUUCACAUCUGCUAAUUGGAAUGAGAACAAUUUAAAUCCCUUAUCGAGGAUCCAUUGGAGGGCAAGUCUGGUGCCAGCAGCCGCGGUAAUUCCAGCUCCAAUAGCGUAUAUUAAAGUUGUUGCAGUUAAAAAGCUCGUAGUUGGAUUUCUGGCGUGGGGUCACUGUCCCGGCAUCCUAGUGGUGCUGUGUGUCGGCUGGCCUCUGCCAUCUUUUCGGAAUAACCAGCGUACCCUUCACUGGGCUGCGUUGGCGACUCCGAUCUUUUACUUUGAAAAAAUUAGAGUGUUCAAAGCAGGCUUUCCGCUGUGAAUACAUUAGCAUGGAAUAAUAACAUAGGACUUUCGUCUUAUUUUGUUGGUUUCUAGGAUGAGAGUAAUGAUUGAUAGGGAUAGUUGGGGGUGCUCGUAUUCAGGGGCCANAGGUGAAAUUCUAUGAUUCCCUGAAGACGAACUUAUGCGAAAGCAUUCACCAAGGAUGUCUUCUCUAAUCAAGAACGAAAGUUGGGGGAUCGAAGACGAUCAGAUACCGUCGUAGUCUCAACCAUAAACGAUGCCGACUCGGGAUCGGUGGACGUUAUUUUAUGACUCCAUCGGCACCGUAUGAGAAAUCAUAAGUCUUUGGGUUCCNGGGGGAGUAUGGUCGCAAGGCUGAAACUUAAAGGA